rnacentral:rRNA from 1 species
AUACUGUCUCUGGGGUUUAAUUUAAAAGUUAAUUAGGGAGUGAAAAUACUCCCGCAAGAAAAAAUAGACGAGAAGACCCUAAGAAUUAUGAAUAGUAAGGUUGGAAAACAGUACUUUUUUUGUUGGGGCAACAAGGGAAAUUAAUUUAGAUCUUCCUCGUAGAAUUUAUAUACCUGUCGAAUAAUUAUUAGGAACGUAGUAAUUACCUUAGGGAUAACAGCAUAAUUUUAACUAAGUUUGUGACCUCGAUGUUGGAUUAG